rnacentral:misc_RNA from 1 species
AACGCACCUUGCGCCCCUUGGCUAUUCCGAGGGGCAUGCCUGUUUGAGUAUCAUGAACACCUCAACUCUCAUGGUUUGCCCAUGAUGAGCUUGGACUUUGGGGGUUUUGCUGGCCUGUGGUCAGCUCCUCUCAAAUCGAUCAGCUUCCCAGUGUUCGGUGGCAUCACAGGUGUGAUAAUUAUCUACGCUUGCGGUUGUCUGCCGAGUAACCUUUGGCGACAGAGGAUCGCUGGAGCUUAUAAAUGUCUCUCCUCAGCGAAGACAGCUUUUUGACCGUUCGAUCUCAAAUCAGGUAGGACUACCCGCUGAACUUAAG